GGUACCCGCCUUAAUUGGGAAACCGUGGAACUGGUUUAAACCGGAAGGGGGCUCCCGCCAUGGGGGGUGGAAAGAUUUUCGGUUUGGGAGGGCUCGGGGCCUUUCAGCUUGUUGUGAGGUAAGGCUCACCAAGGGGACGGACGGUAGCCGGCCUGGAAGGGUGACCGGCCCCCCUGGGACUGAGACACGGCCCAGACUCCUACGGGAGGCAGCAGGGGGAAUAUUGCACAAUGGGCGCAAGCCUGAUGCAGCGACGCCGCUUGAAGGAUGACGGCCUUCGGGUUGUAAACCUCUUUCAGUAGGGAAGAAGCGAAAGUGACGGUACCUGCAGAAGAAGCACCGGCUAACUACGUGCCAGCAGCCGCGGUAAUACGUAGGGUGCGAGCGUUAUCCGGAAUUAUUGGGCGUAAAGAGCUCGUAGGCGGUUUGUCGCGUCUGUCGUGAAAGUCCGGGGCUUAACCCCGGAUCUGCGGUGGGUACGGGCAGACUAGAGUGCAGUAGGGGAGACUGGAAUUCCUGGUGUAGCGGUGGAAUGCGCAGAUAUCAGGAGGAACACCGAUGGCGAAGGCAGGUCUCUGGGCUGUAACUGACGCUGAGGAGCGAAAGCAUGGGGAGCGAACAGGAUUAGAUACCCUGGUAGUCCAUGCCGUAAACGUUGGGCACUAGGUGUGGGGACCAUUCCACGGUUUCCGCGCCGCAGCUAACGCAUUAAGUGCCCCGCCUGGGGAGUACGGCCGCAAGGCUAAAACUCAAAGGAAUUGACGGGGGCCCGCACAAGCGGCGGAGCAUGCGGAUUAAUUCGAUGCAACGCGAAGAACCUUACCAAGGCUUGACAUGUUCUCGAUCGCCGUAGAGAUACGGUUUCCCCUUUGGGGCGGGUUCACAGGUGGUGCAUGGUUGUCGUCAGCUCGUGUCGUGAGAUGUUGGGUUAAGUCCCGCAACGAGCGCAACCCUCGUUCCAUGUUGCCAGCACGUAAUGGUGGGGACUCAUGGGAGACUGCCGGGGUCAACUCGGAGGAAGGUGAGGACGACGUCAAAUCAUCAUGCCCCUUAUGUCUUGGGCUUCACGCAUGCUACAAUGGCCGGUACAAUGGGUUGCGAUACUGUGAGGUGGAGCUAAUCCCAAAAAGCCGGUCUCAGUUCGGAUUGGGGUCUGCAACUCGACCCCAUGAAGUCGGAGUCGCUAGUAAUCGCAGAUCAGCAACGCUGCGGUGAAUACGUUCCCGGGCCUUGUACACACCGCCCGUCAAGUCACGAAAGUUGGUAACACCCGAAGCCGGCGAGCAGUAACCUCCUUGUGGUCGAGGUGGAGCGGCGGUG
rnacentral:rRNA from 1 species